CACGUAGGGUGCAAGCGUUGUCCGGAAUUAUUGGGCGUAAAGGGCUCGUAGGCGGUCCGUCACGUCGGGAGUGAAACUCGGGCUCAACCCCGAGCCUGCUUUCGAUACGGGCGGACUAGAGGUAGGUAGGGGAGAACGGAAUUCCUGGUGUAGCGGUGGAAUGCGCAGAUAUCAGGAGGAACACCGGUGGCGAAGGCGGUUCUCUGGGCCUUACCUGACGCUGAGGAGCGAAAGCGUGGGGAGCGAACAGG
rnacentral:rRNA from 1 species